rnacentral:rRNA from 1 species
UACGUAGGGUGCGAGCGUUGUCCGGAAUUAUUGGGCGUAAAGGGCUCGUAGGCGGUUUGUCGCGUCGGGAGUGAAAACCCAGGGCUUAACCCUGGGCUGGCUUUCGAUACGGGCAGACUAGAGGUAUGCAGGGGAGAACGGAAUUCCUGGUGUAGCGGUGAAAUGCGCAGAUAUCAGGAGGAACACCGGUGGCGAAGGCAGCCUUCUGGGCCAACACUGACGCUCAUGCACGAAAGCGUGGGGAGCAAACAGG